AAGCGCUGGAGCCGGCGCCGCUUCCUCCCUUCCGCCUCCGCCGCGUACCGGGUCCCCGCAGCCGCCGCUGGGUGUCCAAAAAUCAACAUGUCUAGCAAGAAGGCAAAGACAAAGACCACCAAGAAGCGCCCUCAGCGCGCCACUUCCAAUGUAUUUGCGAUGUUUGAUCAGUCGCAGAUCCAGGAAUUCAAGGAGGCCUUCAACAUGAUCGACCAGAACAGGGACGGCUUCAUUGACAAAGAGGACUUGCACGACAUGCUCGCCUCCCUUGGAAAGAAUCCAACAGAUGAAUACCUGGAUGCCAUGAUGAACGAGGCUCCGGGCCCCAUCAACUUCACGAUGUUUCUCACCAUGUUUGGUGAGAAGUUAAAUGGCACCGACCCGGAGGAUGUAAUCAGGAAUGCUUUUGCUUGCUUUGAUGAGGAAGCAACAGGGUUCAUCCAAGAAGACUACCUGCGGGAGCUGCUGACCACCAUGGGAGACAGGUUCACGGAUGAGGAGGUGGAUGAGCUUUACAGAGAGGCCGGAUGAGCUUUACAGAGAGGCCCCCAUCGACAAGAAGGGCAAUUUCAACUACAUCGAAUUCACGCGCAUCCUGAAACAUGGAGCAAAAGACAAGGAUGACUGAGCAAAUCCCUGGAUACCUGCAGAUAGCACCUUUAGUUUUUUGGGUUUUUUUCUUCCCACUAAUUUUAUUUCUCAGGAUCUAUUUUUAUUUUUUUUUCCUUUUUUUCUUGUUGGGACCUUUUGCAUACAUUUUUAGUGCUGCACCUUCUUCCUCUGUGGAUCUUCCUCUGUGCCUCUCAGACACACCUGCACCUUUGUAAUAAGACUGGGAAGUGGCAAGGAGAGAGAGGACAGCUUGUAGUGAUAGAGGUUGAGGGGCAAAGAUCAGAGUGUGGAGGCCUGGGUAAAAAUGUCAGUGCUACUCAUCCUAGCUAGGUUAAUUUUACAUUUUUAAUGAUAAUUUUUCAAAUAAAUCACUGUCUACUAAGUGCAUAAUUAAAAUAUUCAUGCUGGAAGUAUAAUGUUUCUCUAAUGAUAUCUGUAAAUAUUUUUGCAACUGUAUGCAGUCAUGUUGUUACCUAUUUUUGCCUUAAAAAUGAUGCAUAAGUCACUUAAGCAUACUGAUGUUUGUACUUCAGCAGCUAUUUUACCUGCUACUGUGAGCAUACACAUGAAGAAGAAAUUCCUAUCCUUCAAAUUUUAGUGUAUUGUAAAUGAAUAAUUUCUGUCCAAGACUUGCACAUUAAACAUUUUAAAUCUUC